UAACAAAGGGUUCCGUAGGUGAACCUGCGGAAGGAUCAUUGUCGGAACCUCUGCCCAGCAGAACGACCCGCGAACUAGUUCCUCGACCCAGGCCGCGGCGGCGAGCCCCUCGCCUCCCGGCGAGCCGUGGGGGGGCGGCCCGUGCGGUCCCUCUCCCCGGCUCACGAACAAAAACCCCGGCGCCGGACGCGCCAAGGACCAUGUAUACAGACGGGGGGGAGCCCCCUCGGCCCGGGAACGGGCUGCGGGGCGCGCCUUCCUUCGCCUGCGAGCGAANNNNNNNNNNNNNN
rnacentral:rRNA from 1 species